UUAACACAUAUUUUGAUUAGAACUGUGUUAAAGGCUUCGAACACCAAUUUACAGGGCCUUGUGAUAGCUAAAAAUGCUCCUAUAUGGAGAAAGUGAAACUGGGUUUCGUCCCGUCACCCGUGUACCAGUGGAAUUCGGUUAAUGUGCUGACGGAGAGCGGACUCUUCCAGCACGGCGAAGUGGUCGGCGUGGCGGAGAAAGGUUUAGCCGUCGAUUUCCACUGCAGCGGACGACGAGCGCAGUAGCAAUACGUUUAACAGAGCACAAAGAAAAAUACUACAGUACCGUACUCUCUAGUACCUCCGGCAUUGAAUUAUUAAUUGUGCCAUGUCAGUAUUUUAUUGCAUUUCAUAUCUGGCCAAAUCAACAGUUUAGCGUGGGGUAGUAACUAAAGUAAGCCUAAAGUAAGCAUUUAUCAUGUUUAAGCCGAACGUAGUAAUUAUGUCUGUUGCAGUACAAAAACAUUAGCGAAAAUCCCAGGCGUCCGGCAUAUAACCAUGUAGCCCAUGAACCUUUUACGGACAACUUAAGCAAAAAAUUCAUCGUUAUCUCCAGCUUCCAAAUACCUCUUCCUGAAAUCUUUCCAACUGGAAUUAUCCUCUUCAUCAGAACAUUCCAAAUCUUCCGAGUGAAUUUCUUUCAUAGCCCGCAGCGUCAAGUUGGUCAACUUGGAUACAUCCAGAGAUUCCAGAUUCUCCUCCGUCCACUCGCGGUCGCGAUACUGCGUCGUCGAUCGCGGAUCAAGACUUUGCCAGUUAUUCAGACACUGCAUAAAAAUAUCCACAUUUGUGAUAUCAUAUUUUAAUAAAAUAGUUUGUACUAAACUAUGCGAUAUACAGU